CUCAUUCAAUCCCCACAGUAACCCUAAGUGGAUAUUAUUAUUACUUAUUAUCCCCAUUUUGCAGGUGAAGAAGUGGAGGUUCAGGAAAGGCCCAUCUGAAGUGCUGGUGCCAUGUGUAGAUCUGGGAGAGUGACAGCCCCGCUGAGGACGCUGAGCUGCUGCUCCAUGUUCCAGUGCCCGGGUCCCUCCACUGAGCCCACGCUGCACUGGGGCGCCGGCAGCCGCACAGCACAGCGCAGCUGCUGAGGAUGCAGGGGUCCUGCCGCUGGGCCAUUGCUCCCUCAGGAGCCCGCCGGGAGCGUGGCAUGCGGGGUGGGACGCAGGUAUUCCUGGGUCCCAGGAAUCUGUCCCUGGCAGAAAUCAUCGCUAAUAGCACAAAGCCUCACCCUUAACCUAGAAUGGUUAUUAACAUAUUAAUUAAUAUUUAAAAACUCA